UACGUAGGGGGCAAGCGUUAUCCGGAUUUACUGGGUGUAAAGGGAGCGUAGACGGCUAAGCAAGUCUGAAGUGAAAGCCCGGGGCUUAACCCCGGGACUGCUUUGGAAACUGUUAAGCUAGAGUGCUGGAGAGGUAAGUGGAAUUCCUAGUGUAGCGGUGAAAUGCGUAGAUAUUAGGAGGAACACCAGUGGCGAAGGCGGCUUACUGGACAGUAACUGACGUUGAGGCUCGAAAGCGUGGGGAGCAAACAGG
rnacentral:rRNA from 1 species